rnacentral:rRNA from 1 species
UACGGAGGGUGCGAGCGUUAUCCGGAAUUACUGGGUUUAAAGGGUGCGUAGGCGGCUAUGUAAGUCAGGCGUGAAAGUUUGCGGCUCAACCGUAAAAUUGCUUUUGAUACUGCAUAGCUAGAAUUAGGAUGAGGUCAGCGGAAUGUGGCAUGUAGCGGUGAAGUGCAUAGAUAUGCCAUAGAACACCAAUUGCGAAGGCAGCUGGCUAGACCUGGAUUGACGCUGAGGCACGAAAGCGUGGGGAGCGAACAGG